rnacentral:lncRNA from 1 species
GGAAGAGCUGGAAGGAUGUGUUCACUGAAAAUUCAGCCCACAGAUGUAAAAGUUUGUUCCUGCAUAUUGGCAUUUUAGAUCCAGAGUUUAUAUAUAGUAAAGAAUGAAUAGGGUAAGGCUUCACACCCAGCAUGAGCUCAACAUGGGGCCUGAACUCAUAACCCGGAGUUCAAGAACUAAGAUGAAAUCAAGAGUUGGAUGCUUAACCAAAUGAGCCCUCCAGGUACUUUUAAUAUUUUUAGUCUCUUUAUCUUUCCAUUGUGCAUUCUGG